AGAAUAUUAAUCCAAUCCAUGACUCCUUUGGUUGCGUUGAAAAGGUCAUUUAGUUCACCUUUGUAUCGUCUUUGGGGGCAUUCUUAAAGGAUAUGGUACAUGGUCUGUUCCUUUCCGUCGUCACAUUUUUCGCUAUCACAGAGUUUACAUUUAUACAUUAGGCUAUUGCAUUUUCUUUUCUCUGUACGAAACCUGUUUAACUUUACAUCAUCACUCACAGUUUUUUAGGCAGGCCCAUCCUUGGUUGAGGUGUUUGAAUAUUUUUGACCAAAUUUCCAUUUGUUGGUUUACUCUUAUUUCACUCAAAUUCCCAUGGCUAGGUGUCUGUUCACUCUUUGUUUUUAUUUCUUCCACUCUGUGUAGAAAUGGCUUACAGGACUUCAGUCUUGAUUUACACACCCCAUCUUUAUGCAGCGGUAAGUCUGGAAUAUUAUUAAGCUUGUUAUGCAGAUUUAAUGUUCCUUUUUGUCUUCUGAUCUAGG